GGUGGGAUGCAGCCUGGAGAUUGUAGAGCCAGUGAGGAGUCGCCAGUAAACAUUUCAGCUCCACAGAAACCAAACUGGAUCUUUGAAUUUGAAUGAAAAAAAAAAAAAAAACAGGAUUAUUUGAGAGACCUCAAGAAGGUAAAGCAGUGUUUUCCACAAAAGAAUCUUGGCUAGAAAAUCUGCCUGACAGAGAUCACAAGUAG